UCUGUAUCCUCUGCUGUUCCUCUCUUGGCCUC
rnacentral:piRNA from 1 species